UUUCGCAAUGCCCGAAAGGGUGACGAAGCGACGCCGCGUGAGCGAAGAAGGCCUUAGGGUUGUAAAGCUCUGUCGAGGGUUAUGAAAUAUAGAUGAGCUAAUACCUCAUUUAUUUGACAAAGGCCCCAAAGGAAGUCACGGCUAACUCUGUGCCAGCAGCCGCGGUAAUACAGAGGUGGCAAGCGUUGUUCGGUAUUAUUGGGCGUAAAGAGCACGUAGGUGGUUUUGUAAGUCAGGUGUGAAAGCCUUCUGUUCAAAGGAAGAACGGCAUCUGAAACUGCAGAUCUUGAGUGUAGGAGGGGAGAGUGGAACUUCUGGUGGAGCGGUGAAAUGCGUAGAUAUCAGAAGGAACGCCGGCGGCGAAAGCGAUUCUCUGGCCUAUUACUGACACUCAGUGUGCGAAAGCUAGGGGAGCAAACGGGAUUAGAUACCCCGGUAGUCCUAGCCGUAAACGAUGGGCACUAAGUAGAGGGGUUUUA
rnacentral:rRNA from 1 species